ACCUCAGUAACGGCGAGUGAAGCGGUAACAGCUCAAAUUUGAAAUCUGGGUCUUUCAGGCUCCGAGUUGUAAUUUGUAGAAGAUGCUUCGGGUGCGGCUCCGGUCUAAGUUCCUUGGAACAGGACGUCAUAGAGGGUGAGAAUCCCGUAUGUGAUCGGCCGCUUGCGCCCAUGUGAAGCUCUUUCGACGAGUCGAGUUGUUUGGGAAUGCAGCUCCAAAUGGGUGGUAUAUUUCAUCUAAAGCUAAAUAUUGGCCAGAGACCGAUAGCGCACAAGUAGAGUGAUCGAAAGAUGAAAAGCACUUUGGAAAGAGAGUUAAACAGUACGUGAAAUUGUUGAAAGGGAAGCGCUUGCAACCAGACUUGCGUGUUGUUGAUCAUCCGGGGUUCUCCCCGGUGCACUCGACCUCACUCAGGCCAGCAUCGGUUUCGGUGGUUGGAUAAAGGCCUUGGGAAUGUAGCUCCUCUCGGGGAGUGUUAUAGCCCUCGGUGCAAUGCAGCCUACCGGGACCGAGGACCGCGCUUCGGCUAGGAUGCUGGCGUAAUGGUUGUAAGCGACCCGUCUUGAAACACGGACCAAGGAGUCUAACAUCUAUGCGAGUGUUUGGGUGUCAAACCCAUACGCGUAAUGAAAGUGAACGGAGGUGAGAACCCUUAAGGGUGCAUCAUCGACCGAUCCUGAUGUCUUCGGAUGGAUUUGAGUAAGAGCAUAGCUGUUGGGACCCGAAAGAUGGUGAACUAUGCCUGAAUAGGGUGAAGCCAGAGGAAACUCUGGUGGAGGCUCGCAGCGGUUCUGACGUGCAAAUCGAUCGUCAAAUUUGGGUAUAGGGGCGAAAGACUAAUCGAACCAUCUAGUAGCUGGUUCCUGCCG
rnacentral:rRNA from 1 species